UACGAAGGGGGCUAGCGUUGUUCGGAAUUACUGGGCGUAAAGCGCACGUAGGCGGAUUGCUAAGUCAGGGGUGAAAUCCCGGGGCUCAACCUCGGAACUGCCUUUGAUACUGGCAAUCUCGAGUCCGGAAGAGGUGAGUGGAAUUCCUAGUGUAGAGGUGAAAUUCGUAGAUAUUAGGAAGAACACCAGUGGCGAAGGCGGCUCACUGGUCCGGUACUGACGAUGAGGUGCGAAAGCGUGGGGAGCAAACAGG
rnacentral:rRNA from 1 species